UCUCAACUCUCUAUCUCUCUAAAACCCACCCUUGUAACCUAAUCUCCUCACCACCAUCACACCUGCCGCCGUCGGCCACCACCUAAACGCCUCGCCACCGAUCAUCAUCAGCACAAACCAUAACCACCUAUACUUAUUAAUCUAACAUCAUUUCGUUUACGAACCGGAGGAUGAUAAAACUCAUACAUCAUUUUUAUCGUCACACAUAAUCGCAUUUAACUGGAGUAUCAUGUGCUUCUGGUGUUCGGUAGAGUCAGAAGAUGUGGUGGUGUUUCGAUUAUGAUGGAAACGUCCAAAUCUCUAAACUCCCUCUCUUUGAUGGAGGUUUCGACCUAAACCUGCCUCAGAUCUGAGAUGUAUGAGUCAAUUGAAAGAUUCUGAGUAGGGUUUGCUGUUGAGUUUGAAUUGAGGGUAGCCUUUUUUUUGUUUGUUUGAUUGUUAUUCAACCCUUUAUGAAAGAUUUUCUAAUUUAUCAAAAGCCUACUUUUGAUUGGGGUUUUUAUUCAAAGUAGCUGAUCUGUUCUGUGGGUAAUGGUAACGUAGUGGUGGUUUCAGGUGGUGGUGGUUUUCGGCAGUGGUAACGGUGGCAGCAUUAUGGUGGUGGUAGUGACGAUUGGGAUAUUGUGCUAUUUUUGGUUUUAUUUAUUACACAUUUAAAUUAAAACAUGAAUUGACCAGAAUGCCCUUAAGUGAAUAAAUUUAACUGAAAAUUUUAAUCUAGUUAGUGUUAAAGGACCUGGAUUGUAACGAGUUUUGCAAAUAAAUGAUUGUGACUGUAAUUAUU
rnacentral:lncRNA from 1 species